ACGCUGGCGGCGUGCAUAACACAUGCAAGUCGAACGAUGAAACUUAAUUGAUCUCUUCGGAGUGAUUUUAAGUGGAUUAGUGGCGGACGGGUGAGUAACGCGUGAGUAACCUGCCUUAGAGAUGGGGAUAGCCUCUGGAAACGGAGAAUAAUACCCAAUGAUACCAAGUUAUCGCAUGGUAGCCUGGUCAAAGAUUUAUCGCUCUAAGAUGGACUUGCGUCUGAUUAGCUAGUUGGUGAGAUAAUGGCUCACCAAGGCAACGAUCAGUAGCCGGCUUGAGAGAGUGUACGGCCACAUUGGGACUGAGACACGGCCCAGACUCCUACGGGAGGCAGCAGUGGGGAAUUUUGCACAAUGGGGGAAACCCUGAUGCAGCGACGCCGCGUGAUUUAGAAGGCCUUCGGGUUGUAAAAAUCUUUUGUAUAGGAAGAAAAUGACAGUACUAUACGAAUAAGGACCGGCUAAUUACGUGCCAGCCGCCGCGGUAA
rnacentral:rRNA from 2 species